AAAGCGCGCGUAGGUGGUUUGUUAAGUUGGAUGUGAAAUCCCCGGGCUCAACCUGGGAACUGCAUCCAAAACUGGCAAGCUAGAGUAUGGUAGAGGGUGGUGGAAUUUCCUGUGUAGCGGUGAAAUGCGUAGAUAUAGGAAGGAACACCAGUGGCGAAGGCGACCACCUGGACUGAUACUGACACUGAGGUGCGAAAGCGUGGGGAGCAAACAGGAUUAGAUACCCGUGU
rnacentral:rRNA from 1 species